rnacentral:rRNA from 1 species
CCUACGGGUGGCAGCAGUGGGGAAUAUUGGACAAUGGGCGAAAGCCUGAUCCAGCCAUGCCGCGUGUGUGAAGAAGGCCUUCGGGUUGUAAAGCACUUUCAGUGGGGAAGAAAGCCUUGGGGCUAAUACCCUCGAGGAAGGACAUCACCCACAGAAGAAGCACCGGCUAACUCCGUGCCAGCAGCCGCGGUAAUACGGAGGGUGCGAGCGUUAAUCGGAAUUACUGGGCGUAAAGCGCGCGUAGGCGGUCUGAUAAGCCGGUUGUGAAAGCCCCGGGCUCAACCUGGGAACGGCAUCCGGAACUGUCAGGCUAGAGUGCAGGAGAGGAAGGUAGAAUUCCCGGUGUAGCGGUGAAAUGCGAAGAGAUCGGGAGGAAUACCAGUGGCGAAGGCGGCCUUCUGGACUGACACUGACGCUGAGGUGCGAAAGCGUGGGUAGCAAACAGGAUUAGAUACCCGAGUAGUC